GUCUCGAGGGAGCACAUACACUAAAACUGGAAUGAUACAGAGAAGAUUAGCGUAGCCCCUGCUCAAGGAUGACACACAAAUUCAUGAAGCACUCCAUAUUCUC